rnacentral:rRNA from 1 species
AUUGAACGCUGGCGGCAGGCCUAACACAUGCAAGUCGAGCGGAUGAGAGGAGCUUGCUUCUCGAUUCAGCGGCGGACGGGUGAGUAAUGCCUAGGAAUCUGCCUGGUAGUGGGGGACAACGUUUCGAAAGGAACGCUAAUACCGCAUACGUCCUACGGGAGAAAGCAGGGGACCUUCGGGCCUUGCGCUAUCAGAUGAGCCUAGGUCGGAUUAGCUAGUUGGUGAGGUAAUGGCUCACCAAGGCGACGAUCCGUAACUGGUCUGAGAGGAUGAUCAGUCACACUGGAACUGAGACACGGUCCAGACUCCUACGGGAGGCAGCAGUGGGGAAUAUUGGACAAUGGGCGAAAUCCUGAUCCAGCCAUGCCGCGUGUGUGAAGAAGGUCUUCGGAUUGUAAAGCACUUUAAGUUGGGAGGAAGGGUUGUAGAUUAAUACUCUGCAAUUUCGACGUUACCGACAGAAUAAGCACCGGCUAACUCUGUGCCAGCCGCCGCCGUAAAAC